ensembl:rRNA 5S_rRNA 5S ribosomal RNA
GCCAGCAGCCAUAUCACCCUGCAGCCCAAGACUGGUUGCCCACUGAAGCUAAGCAGGGUUGAGCCUGGUCAGUACCUGGAUGGGAGACCUCCUGGCAAAAACUAGGUUGCAGCUGGAA